rnacentral:lncRNA from 1 species
UUUUUUUUUGAGACAGAGUCUUGUUGCCCAGGCUAGAGUGCAAUGGCACAAUCUCAGCUCACUGUAACCUUGGCCUCCCUGGUUCAAGCAAUUCUCCUGCCUCAGCCUCCCGAGUAGCUGGAUUACAGGUGCUCAACACCAUGCCCAGCUAAUUUUAUAUUUUUCGUAGAGACAGGGUCUCACCACAUUGGCCAGGCUGGUCUCGAACUCCUGGUCUCAAGUGAUCCACCUCCUUUGGCCUCCCAAAGUGCUGGGAUUACAGGUGUGAGCCACUGUGCCUGGCCUUAAAGAACUUUUGGUCUUGUUGAGGUGGCGAGAUGGGCAUAUGGAAUAGAGACAGAUUAACUGCUAAUUUUGUGUCCCUGGGCCCACAUGUAACAGGAGCCCUGGGACCCUGUUGUGUCCCUGCCCAAGGAGGGACAUGAGAGUCAAAUGUCCUUUGAGAUCCCAGCCCUGUUUCUGGGCCUGGGACCCCAGAAUUUGACCCCACUUGCCUCCCACCCUGAUCCCUGGGGAUUCCUGUGGCCCUAUUGUGGAUGCCUCCUGCAGGAUGUAGGCGAGGGAGGGGCGGGAAGGCUGCAGGGAAGAGAAGAGCCUGCUGUUUAUCCAGGCACAGCCUUUUCUUGCCUUUCUGGGGGAAAAUGCUCCUUUUGGAGUUCUCUUUUUUAUCUGAAAUUCUCUGGGGAGCAAUUACCUGACGAUGGGAAUUAUCUGCUGUCUUUAUUCUAGUGCCUGUCUGCCUGAGCUCCCUCUUGGAGUAAUUGAUUUUGAUAAUUCAGAGCUUCUGAACGUUUCUUAGGAGAGGGUGUGGGUGCCGAGGCAGGGGGAUACCCACAAAGGCGUUUUUAAAGGCGUUGGCGGCUAGCGGCUCUGCUGGUGGUGGUUGGUGACAGGGAUGGAACAGUGACUAAAGAAAAUGUAUUUUUUAGCUUUGAAUUUUUCCCCACUUAUAUGGAAGGUGUGUGGGUUGCAUGGGAGUGCUCCUGACUGUGGAACUGGGGCAGGUUUGCUGAAGGGAAGUAAGGAG